GUUUUUCAUGGCUUGGUUAUGGGGGACGGGUUGGACGCCUGGUUCGUGAUGGAGGGGGGCUGUUUGGUUGUGAAGUUUUCCGGCGAUGUGAAGAUGACGGGCUGGACGGGGAAGAUGAAGCAACGGGGUAGCCAUGAGAGGUCGUUUGGUGGUUUAGGGUUAGAGACGGUGUAUUGUGAGGAAGAUGAAGAGAGGGUUUGGUAUUUUUUGGGUCGGG
rnacentral:lncRNA from 1 species